CGGGUGGGAGCGAAACCAACGCCUGGCUCGGAGCAGCAGCAGCUGAGGUGUCCCUGGCCAGUGUCCUUCCACCUGUCCACAAGCAUGGGGAACAUCUUCGCCAACCUCUUCAAGGGCCUUUUUGGCAAAAAGGAAAUGCGCAUCCUCAUGGUAGGCCUGGAUGCCGCGGGGAAGACCACGAUCCUGUACAAGCUAAAGCUGGGUGAGAUCGUGACCACCAUUCCCACCAUAGGCUUCAAUGUGGAAACCGUGGAGUACAAGAAUAUCAGCUUCACUGUGUGGGACGUGGGUGGCCAGGACAAGAUCCGGCCUCUGUGGCGCCACUAUUUCCAGAACACACAAGGCCUGAUCUUCGUGGUGGACAGCAAUGACAGAGAGCGCGUGAAUGAGGCCCGUGAGGAGCUCAUGAGGAUGCUGGCUGAGGAUGAGCUCCGGGAUGCUGUCCUCCUGGUGUUCGCCAACAAGCAGGACCUCCCCAACGCCAUGAAUGCGGCCGAGAGCACAGACAAGCUGGGGCUGCACUCCCUACGCCACAGGAACUGGUACAUUCAGGCCACCUGCGCCACCAGCGGCGACGGGCUCUAUGAAGGACUGGACUGGCUGUCCAAUCAGCUCCGGAACCAGAAGUGAAUGCGACACCCCUCCCUCUCACUCCUCUCACCCUCUGCUUUACUCUCAUGUGGCAAACGUGCGGCUCGUGGUGUGAGUGCCAGAAGCUGCCUCCGUGGUUUGGUCACCGUGUGCAUCGCGCCGUGCUGUAAAUGUGGCAGACGCAGCCUGCGGCCAGGCUUUUUAUUUAAUGUAAAUAGUUUUUGUUUCCAAUGAGGCAGUUUCUGGUACUCCUAUGCAAUAUUACUCAGCUUUUUUUAUUGUAAAAAGAAAAAUCAACUCACUGUAGUGCUGAGAGGGGAUGUAGGCCUGUGGGCACCUGGCCUCCAGGAGUCGCUGUGUUGGGAAAGCCGGGCAUGCUCUUGGCUUUAGAGCUGUGUUGAAAUCCAUUUUGGUGGUUGGUUUUUAACCCAAACUCAGUGCAUUUUUUUAAAUAGUUAAAAAUCCAAGUCGAGAACACUUGAACACACAGAAGGGAGACCCUGCCUAGCAUAGAUUUACGGCCUGGAUGCCAGUCGCCAGCCCGGCUGUUCCCCUUGGGAACGUGAGGCGGCGGGGCGGCAGACCGCGAUCAAUUCUGCAUGGUCACAAUAGAGAUCCCCGCAACUUGCUUGUCCUUGGGUCACCCUGCAUUCCAUAGCCAUGUGCUUGUCCCUGUGCCCCCAUGGUUCACAGGGGCCAGGCUGGGAGCCCACAGCCACCCCACUCUCCCACAGGCCGCUACAGCCACCUUCAGGCAGCCUGUGGGAGACAGGGCCCCACCUGUCCCUCGGUCAGCAUGUGGCCAGAGUGAGUCCGUUGUCCCCAAUACUCGUGCUCGCUCAGACACUUUGGCAGGAUGUCUGGGGCCUCACCAGCAGGAGCGCGUGCAAGCCGGGCAGGCGGUCCACCUAGACCCACAGCCCCUCGGGAGCACCCCACCUCUGUGUGUGACGUAGCUUUCUUUCCCUCAGCCUGCAAGGGUCCGAUUUGCCAUCGAAAAAGACAACCUCUACUUUUUUCUUUUGUAUUUUGAUAAACACUGAAGAAGCUGGAGCUGUUAAAUUUAUCUUGGGGAAACCUCAGAACUGGUCUAUUUGGUGUGGUGGAACCUCUUACUGCUUUCAAUACACGAUUAGUAAUCAACUGUUUUGUAUACUUGUUUUCAGUUUUCAUUUCGACAAACAAGCACUGUAAUUAUAGCUAUUAGAAUAAAAUCUCUUAACUAUUAAAAAAAA